GUUUGUCUGGUCCAGGUACAUGUAGCUUGGCCCAUAAUAUUUUCCUCUUUUUUAGAAACAAUCAAACCCUUGAUUUACCUUUUGAAUCAGGUAAGAGGUUGUAAUUGCCAUGCAUAUAUAUUAAUUUAACUGACAAAAUAUGUUAUUUUAGCAGCUUAGGCUUUAUAAAUAGUCUAAAUAAUAGAAAAAACAUGAGUAACAUUUUUUAUUCUUAUGGUGGUUAGGGUCUUUAAAGACUAUUCUUUUUUUUUUUUCUUUAGGAGACAUCUUUGUGCCAUAGACAUAGUCUCCUAUCUGGAAUGGGUGUUGGAAAUCAGUGGUCUUUUGAGGUUUGUUCUCUCCAAGGAAUUUAUGAGCUUCAGGUUGAACCUAUUGGAGAGACUUAACAACAGGAGAAGGUGAUCUUAGUAAGGGUGGAGGAAGGGCUCUGAAGGUACUAACAAUUUAAUCUCCCAGAGGUGGUCUCUCUUUGGACCAAAACUGGUCUCCAAUUUUGUGAUCUGACCCAAUUAUCUACGCUGACUGAAGUUUUUAUUUUAUUUUCUCAUCUAAUUUUAGGGACUUCUUGCUGCUGGAAGAAAAAGGGUGAGGAUCACUCUUACUGCUACAAGCUGAGAGGGGGCAUCAUGGGGUGGGGAAAGCAGUUUGGAGUCCCCUUUUAGAGAUUGGGUUAGUCAAGGGGUCCAUGGUAAAAAUCUGGCUUGGGAAGAAUAGGUUGUAAAGUCAUCUAGGGGUGGAUAUGGGAAGCUACUCCUGAGCUAUUUAGCAUCUUCACUAGGCCUUGAGCCAAGGAUAUUUUGGUGUGGCAUUGCAAGUCAUUCUGUGGCUCCUCCCACUUAAUGCAUUAUGCAAUGAAAGUGAUUUCAGCCUUAGCUUGGCUGGGAAAUCUGCUCUUCUAGCUCCAGAAUUGGACUUGACCCCCUGAGCCUGAACAGCUCACCUCCUACCUUAUUUGGCAGAAAAACAUUCUAUGCAAAAUCUUUGAAGUUUCCUCCAUAUAUAAUAAAGCAAACAAGGGCUCUCUCUCUUCCCAUUGUGGAAGGUCAAAGAGCCAUCCCACCCCCACUUUUCAUAAUUACUUUCUGUGUAGUGUGGCUUUUUCAAUGCCUUUUUCUUAGCUUUAUUUCAUAGCCAACUCACUUCAUGCAAUGAAACCCAAAUCCCACUACCUUUACAGCAUAUUGUAGAGAGCCACUCCAAAUGCACACACCUUUAAUUCCUGAUACACCAUGGUGAUCUCAAAGAUCACUGUAGUCUGGAGCAGUAUUGCCAAGACUCUUGGGAGUAGCCCUAGGAGUAGGCAGCACCCAGAGAGGUUGAGCUACUCUCACCUCUUCCCUUGUAAUUCUACCCUAAUCUCAUUUGAAUAGCUUCUUCCCAAUAGAAGGGUUUAGCAAGUGCUCCUCUCUCUUUCCAGGAACCCCUAAGGUCAGAGGAGCCUUAGGAGGACCCAGUUCACCUGGAGUUACCUUGAGUGUUUCAGUUGUGAGACAUGACAAUUGGUGGCCCUUAUGGAGACUCCAGGGUGAAAUUUAGAAAUUUAGUGGGCUUGGAAUUUCUCACCAGAAGUUAAGCACACUUAGAAUUUCAGAGUAUUGUCAGCUGAAUUGUAGAAAGUAAGUGAAUUAGACAGAAGAAAAAUCUGGAUGUUAAACUUUUUAAUAUUUGGGAAUAUUUUAUCCUUGGAAAGAGAAAAAAAUAUUUUUUUACAAUUCUAGAGACUCUAAAUAAAUGUAAAGAAUUAUUAAGAUGAUUCAUGGGAUAUGUUGUCAAGUUCAGUUCUCUACCAUGGGAAAAGCACUUUUGUGGACUUUUUUGGGUUGUUUUUAUAAAUCUUUAUAUUUUGAAAUAUUAGGUAAAAAUCUUUUGGGUUUAUGUACUAGAAGUCUGUGCUUUAAAAGUGAGAAAAAGAAAAAAAUGAUUUUGUGAUGAGACUUGAUACGAGGAUUCUUUGCCCGUAGAGAAGUGAAUUUUGUUUUUCUAUUGUUUUUAUGAAUAAUGAACCUCUGCUACAUUCUUGUCCUACUGGAUCAGAAUCCAAAGACUUUAGCAACUGUUCCCUAAUGGGGCUGUAACUAGACCCACCACCUGCGGUGCUUUUAACCCUU
rnacentral:lncRNA from 1 species